GACGAACGCUGGAGGCGUGCUUAACACAUGCAAGUCGAACGCAGUGGCGAACGGGUGAGUAAUACGUGAGUAACCUGCCCUCCUUUUUGGGAUAAGCCUUUGAAACGGGGUCUAAUACCGAAUAAAGGGGGAUGGGCUCGCGGCCUAUCGGCUUGUUGGUGGGGUGAUGGGCUACCAAGGCGGUGACGGGUAGCCGGCCUGAGUGGGUGAGGGGGUGAAUAGGGAGGGAGGGAGGGGCCAGACUGCUACGGGAGGGAGCGGUGGGGGAGAUUGAGCAAUGGGCGAAAGACGGGUGCGGUGACGCGGAGUGGGGGCUGAAGGCUGUCGGGUGGUAAACGUCGUGCGCUAGCGAACGGGUAGGUGGAGGAGAAGCGCCGGCGAAGUACGUGCCAGCAGCCGCGGUAGUAC
rnacentral:rRNA from 1 species